UCAAAUAUGUAUAUAUACUUUUUCGAAAUUAUGUAUAUUAUAUUCUAACUCAAAGCGUGAUUUCACGUGAACCACAUUUUAUACCGCGGAUCCGGCCCUGCAUACAUGUAUUGAAAUACCAGCUCCACUCCAAAUUGCAUUUUUAACCUUAGUAAUAAUUUUUUAACUUGUUGCAGGCACAUAUUUAACUUGGUCAGAAGUUUCAGGUUAUUCAAACCUCAUGUUCAGUCAAAGGUCACACGACAAUUUGCAACCGAGGGAGCAUACAAACUUUUAGAGGUUGUUUUUAUAUACACAGAUUGAGAUAAAGGUAAAUUUUAUGUGAUAUGGAAACUUUACUUCAACAAGUUUCUUGGGUUUCUUUCCAUAUACAGAUUGAGAACUUACUCUUCCGAAAUGGCAUAUAACUGAAACUUGGGAUUGCACUGGAUGAAAACAAUUGCAGGUUCUCGAUGAAAAGAAAACCUUGAAGCUAUAGCAUGCACAGAGUAAACACAAAAACCAACUCACUCAAACUGCAAUAGACGCACUCUGUGAUACGAAUGCACCUAUAUAGCAACACAAUGUAGGCAACAGUCACAUAUAUGUCGAACUUCUGAUAACAUAAUAAGCAAAAGUGUGAAUUUACACAAACUUCAG
rnacentral:lncRNA from 1 species